rnacentral:rRNA from 1 species
AGGUGCUGCAUGGCUGUCGUCAGCUCGUGUCGUGAGAUGUUGGGUUAAGUCCCGCAACGAGCGCGACCCUUACCCCUUGUUGCCAUCAGGUUAAGCUGAGCACUCUAGGGGAACUGCCGGUGACAAACCAGAGGAAGGUGGGGAUGACGUCAAGUCAGCACAGCCCUUAUGUCCAGGGCUACACACGUGCUACAAUGGCCGGUACAAAGAGUUGCGAUGCCGCGAGGUGGAGCUAAUCUCAAAAAACCGGCCUCAGUUCGGAUUGGAGUCUGCAACUCGACUCCAUGAAGUUGGAAUCGCUAGUAAUCGUGGAUCAGCAUGCCACGGUGAAUACGUUCCCGGGCCUUGUACACACCGCCCGUCACACCACCCGAGUUUGCAGCGCCCGAAGUGGCUGAUCUAACCCGCAAGAGAUGAAGGUUACUAAGGUGAGGCAGGUAAGGGGGGUGAAGUCGUAACAAGGUA